UUGAACGCUGGCGGCAGGCCUAACACAUGCAAGUCGAACGGUAACAGGAAGCAGCUUGCUGCUUCGCUGACGAGUGGCGGACGGGUGAGUAAUGUCUGGGAAACUGCCUGAUGGAGGGGGAUAACUACUGGAAACGGUAGCUAAUACCGCAUAACGUCGCAAGACCAAAGAGGGGGACCUUAGGGCCCUUGGCCUUGGGAGGUGCCCAGAUGGGAUUAGCUAGUAGGGGGGGUAACGGCUCACCUAGCCGACGAUCCCUAGCUGGUCUGAGAGGAUGACCAGCCACACUGGAACUGAGACACGGUCCAGACUCCUACGGGAGGCAGCAGUGGGGAAUAUUGCACAAUGGGCGCAAGCCUGAUGCAGCCAUGCCGCGUGUAUGAAGAAGGCCUUCGGGUUGUAAAGUACUUUCAGCGGGGAGGAAGGGAGUAAAGUUAAUACCUUUGCUCAUUGACGUUACCCGCAGAAGAAGCACCGGCUAACUCCGUG
rnacentral:rRNA from 1 species